rnacentral:rRNA from 1 species
ACGGCUCAGUAACACGUGGAUAACCUACCCUCAGGACGGGGAUAAACCCGGGAAACUGGGUAUAAUACCCGAUAGAUCUCGGAGGCUGGAAUGCAUCGAGAUCUAAAGCUCCGGCGCCCGAGGAUGGAUCUGCGGCCUAUCAGGUAGUAGUGGGUGUAGCGUACCUACUAGCCUACGACGGGUACGGGUUGUGAGAGCAAGAGCCCGGAGAUGGAUUCUGAGACACGAAUCCAGGCCCUACGGGGUGCAGCAGGCGCGAAAACUUUACAAUGCCGGCAACGGCGAUAAGGGGACCUCGAGUGCCAGGUUACAAAUCUGGCUGUCGAGAUGCCUAAAAAGCAUUUCAUAGCAAGGGCCGGGCAAGACCGGUGCCAGCCGCCGCGGUAACACCGGCGGCUCGAGUGGUAACCGUUAUUAUUGGGUCUAAAGGGUCUGUAGCCGGCCGGAUAAGUCUCUUGGGAAAUCUGGCAGCUUAACUGUCAGGCUUUCAGGAGAUACUGUUCGGCUCGAGGCCGGGAGAGGUGAGAGGUACUUCAGGGGUAGGGGUGAAAUCUUGUAAUCCUUGAAGGACCACCAGUGGCGAAGGCGUCUCACCAGAACGGACCUGACGGCAAGGGACGAAAGCUAGGGGCACGAACCGGAUUAGAUACCCGGGUAGUCCUAGCCGUAAACGAUACUCGCUAGGUGUCGGCCACGGUGCGACCGUUGUCGGUGCCGUAGGGAAGCCGUGAAGCGAGCCACCUGGGAAGUACGGCCGCAAGGCUGAAACUUAAAGGAAUUGGCGGGGGAGCAC